rfam:Termitomyces sp. J132 unplaced genomic scaffold scaffold385, whole genome shotgun sequence.
GGGCACUUGGCACAGUUGGUAGCGCGCACGCUUCGCAUUGGUAAAUAGUUUGAUUGCGUGAGGUCGUGGGUUCAAUUCCCACAGUGUCCA